CUUGGCGCGCGCGGAGAGAUUUUUCCACAAAAGAGAAAGAAGGAGAUGGGAGAGGUGGAUAAAAACCACCUGAGGAUGGAAAAAAAGAAAGAGGGGAGGAGCUCUUCUCAAAAAGAGAGGAGAGACGCUGCCAACGCCGCGCGUCUCUCUCCCCAAGUGUUGGUGGCCGCCGGUGGCGCUCUAGAGCCCAUUCGACCGACAAGUGUCCACAAGAGCGGUCGUACACACCAUCACCUCUAUCUUUUUUUUCCUUUUUCCUCUCUUUUCUUAUUCUAUCUCUCUCUCUCUUUUUAUCGUCUUUUUUGGGUUUUUCUCGUCGUGUUCACAGUUUGAAAUCAAAAUCUUCGUGUGUAUUAUCAAGUGUGACUCCAGGAUUUGAUCGGCACACAUCAGGAAAACAGGAGGAUAACAAUCAGGAGAGAGAAUGUCAUCGAAAAUGGCCUCGACGUCGUCGUCGUCAUCAUCGGCGGCGUCUGGCGGCUCGUCGCCGCACCUGUGCCUCCGCUGGAACAACUACCAGUCCAAUUUGACCAGCGUCUUUGAUCAACUGCUGCAGAAUGAGACGUUUGUCGACGUCACUCUGGCGGCCGAUGGACACGCCAUCAAGGCCCAUCGCAUGGUCCUGUCAGCCUGUUCGCCCUAUUUCCAGCAUCUCUUCUUUGACAAUCCCUGCCAGCAUCCCAUUGUCAUUUUGAAGGACACCCGCUGGCCAGAACUCAAGGCUAUCGUCGAGUACAUGUACCGCGGCGAGAUCUCCGUCGCCCAGGAGGAACUGACGUCCCUUUUACGCGUCGCCGAGACGCUCAAAAUCAGAGGACUCUCGGAGCUCAACAGCGACCGACACGCCGCUGCUGCUGCCGCCGUUACGGCCGAUGAUCGCAGCGAAUCCAGUCCGCUGAUUCCCAUUCAUCCGACGGCCGGCCCAUCGACGUCGUCGUCAUCUUCAUCGGCUGCAGCCGUCAGGAGACAGACGGACAGUCCGACAUGGCCAACAUUGCCUCAUCAUCAUCAUCAUCAAAUUCAUCAUCAUCAGCAGCAGCAACAACCGGCGUGGCCUGGACACGUCAUGGAUGAAGAAAUGGCUACGACGCCUACCCCUUCGCCCACUCCUGCUCCGGCGUCUCGAUCGUCUGGCGUCAAACGACGUCGCAUUUCGGGGUCUGAAAGUCCAAUCGGUGGCGCCUCGAGUCCGGCAGCCGCUUCGACUCCGGGAAUGCAUCAUCAGCAUCACGAAGAGGCUAGUUUGGACCAUCACGACGGCCCACUCUCGUUGGUUGGUCAUCAACAACAAGCGCCGCCGCCGCCGCCACCACCACCGCCGCACAGUCCGGUCGCCUCCUCCGCCUCGUUGGCGCCGCAGGCUUUGACCCAGGCACCGCCUCCUCCAUCUUCUCUCCAUCAACAUCCACUGGCCCACUCGGAUGACCUUGAUAUUAAGCCCGGCAUCGCAGAACUCAUCCGCGAAGAGGAGAGGGCCCGGAUGCUGGAAGGGACUCACCCGUGGUUGACCGCUUCACCGUCGGUGCUCUCAGACACGUACCAGUACCAAUUACAGGCGCUGUGGCAGAAAGCCUGGGCUACCGGCCAAGGAGUCAUGCAGAACUUGCGUUUUCGUGAGCGCGGUCCUUUCAAAACUUGGAGGCCAGAAACUAUGGCCGAAGCUAUCAUGGCCGUUCUCCGUGAGGGAUUGUCACUCUCCCAGGCUGCCAGGAAAUUUGACAUUCCCUACCCGACGUUCGUGUUGUACGCCAACCGCGUGAAUAACAUGCUCGGGCCUUCGGCUGAUGGUGGACCAGAAUUGCGUCCAAAAGGUCGUGGCAGACCGCAACGAAUUCUGACCGGUUCUUGGCCAGAAGAUCACGUUCACGGCGUCAUCCGCGCCGUUGUUUUCCGCGAUCCGAGCAGCCUCCCGCGUCACAUUGACCGCGAAGAUGCCAGCAAGUUGACCGCUAACCGAUCAGCCGCCAGCUCUAGUAUGAGUCGCUUGCUGACUGUUCAUCCGGCUCAUCAGCAAACAAUUCAGGGCGAACUUGGCGGCGGCAGUGGAUCUGGAAUGCGCGGGUUGAUCCAUUCGGCCAUGAAUAAUGGUAAUAGCCACAAUUAUAAUCACGAAUUCGCACUGCCAUCUUCCUCCAACAUGACUGGCACAUUCACUCACGGAGGAUCGCUAUUAGCCGGUGGAUCUGCUUAUCCGUCAAUGCGUUCGACAGCCGGGCCGUCGUCUGGCGUCAGUAAUGCAGCGAAUGGCCUCAUGGCCGAUUUGAUGGCCGGAGCGACCAAUGGCUCCAACAACAACAACAACAACAACAACAUGCAAGGUGGAUCGGGAUCCAGUACAAGUUGCCUGAGUGGAGGCGGCCUGACAUCGUCGUCGCUGUUCAACGCUCUGCAACAGGAAGUUGCCGAAGAGACUCGAUUGGCCGCUCUGAAUGCCAUGACUCAGCGUCUGAUGACUUCACUGGAAGGUACGUCGCGGUUUCAUCAUGCUGGGCGUUGCUUAACUUCGGGACGUGAUCAUCCAGGUGACAACUUUGGACUGGGCGUGUCGUGCAACCAGCAACGAGCUGCCAGUGGCAUUCAAAAUCCAGCCGCAGCCGCAGCCGCCGCUGCCGCCCUGGAGGCAGCCGCCUGGUUCGGUCCCAGCAGCAGCUUCAGCGGUCAACUGCCUAUCGUCGAUUUGGCGGCCGACGACGUCACCGUAGCCGAAGAUGACGAAGGUGACGACGACGACGAGGAUGCCGUUCAACACCUGGCAUCUUUCAGCGCUCAUCAUAACCCGACAGUCACUAAUCCCGUACACUCUAAACAGCAGGAACAGCUGUUUGGAGAAUAGCCUAUACGCUAUCAUUAAUACUAUUGAAAGAGUGGCAAUUCAGUUAGUUUAUUUCGUCAUGGAGAUUUUGAAAUGAAAAAUUAUGACGCUAAUGUUAGAAAAUAGUCAGAUUGUAAACUUGCACUUGUCAUUUGUCGUCCAGCAAAAUUUUGUUUGUCCAGUGCCGUUUUAUUUAAUUUCUUCAUCAGGCACACACUCUUGUAAGUCAUAUUAUCGAGUUGAUGUUUUCAUUCACUCCGUGACAUUUUAUUUCAACAGAAAAUGGAGUGGCUGGUCUCUUGUACACAGCACCACUGUGGUAUUGUUGUAUAUUCGUUUUGAUGAGCGCACUCGACAAAAAUUUCUCUCACAUUUUUAAUAUGUACUUAAGAAAAAUGUGACUCGAUCUCCUCCUGUAUUUGACAUGGACCAGCUUAAUUGGCCAUAUCUAUUCAGUAUAGGAAAUUACAUUUUGCUCUCCCGCCCUAAAAUAUUAAAGAAACACUAAAUUAAGAGGUCCUCUAAUUGGUCUUUCACGUUUAGGCUCUCUCAAAUAACCAAUUUUUCGGCUUUUAUUCAAUAAGAAAAGGGUGGAGGGGGGAUGCCCAUUUACACAUUUGCUGUCCUUGCUUUUUUUUUAAAUUGAUCCAAUCAUUUUGUGUGUAAGCGUGAAAUAUUUGUAAACAUAUUUCAAGUCAUUUUGGGUCCUUUCGCCAGUUGUCUGUCCUGUUUUAAACUAUGCAUCUGAAAGUUGAAAAACACAAACAGGACGUGAAGAAAACGACUAUAAAAAAAGAAAUCUUAUUUUCUUUAAGACUCUAAUAAUUGACCUGCCAAUAAACUUCGCCCGCACACUCUACUCCCGAAAAUAAGUUUUCAUUUCCCCCCACUUUGAAUGGGCACCAUCGGCGUCAAGCAGUCUCUUGUCUAUGAUGUUUUUGUAUUUAGAUUUUGUGAAUUAUUCAGUCGUAAGAGAAAACAAAACAAAAUGGCUGUCUGCUAUGACGGGCGUUGCGCAACUUUUUAAAGAACCAUUCUAAAAACUCAAUUGAUCGUUUGGCAGCGUACAAUCACCUUCAAGAUCUGAUAAGACCCAUCAAGGCUACAUAUUUGUCCAGGUCAAUAAUGCCUCUCCAAUAAGAGAACAAUUCAAACCCCAUUAUGUUCCUCUUAUUUUGUCUUUUUAUUUUUGUGGCGUAAGAUAAAAAUUUCUUGCGCCCUUGUUGUGCACCUUCCCCAUUUUGCAUGUUUCAUUACGUUUGUUGCCUAUACGAUAACGUUUUUUUAUUGACUAUGUUGGUUUAUCUUUUUCUACCUUCUCAUGUCUCACAUUUUUUUGGUUCCAAUCUUCGUAUUUAUACGACCCUCAACUGCUGCGUUAUCGACGGUUUCAUAUGCUUUUGUGCCAUUGCACCAAAUAUUCACAGUUUUCUUUGUUCCGUUUAACGGUGCGUAUCAUCCGUCUAUUGAAACAAGAUCUACUAAUUGGAGGCUACGUAAAAUGUGAAUAAACGAAAGAUUAACAACCUCUUAAGGUCUGAUUUGGCUUUUCAACCAAGCUGAAACAAAAGUGAACAACUCAGCAAAUGGUUUUGUUGCAGCCACCCAGUGAAAAGGGAGUUCAAGUUGAGCUGCAGCUGCUGUAAGCAGUCUGUAGCGGUGAUGUCAUCCUGAAGUGUUCUCAGUGUGUCAGUCUAGGCUGCUGAAGUUAAUUAAACUGUGCUGUUCAAGUCUUAUCUAGACGUCCAGCACACUGAUAACAAAUUAUAGACAAGACUUUAUGAGAAGCCAUGUCGUUUGAAGAACUACACAGUCAAUAAGGUCCCUGUUUGAAAACCCGUUGGCUGCUACCUGUGAAUCUCCCUUUUUACUUCCUUAAACGGGCCCUCUUAAUUGAGGGUAACUCCUUCGAUACUGAUCAUCCACUGGACCCGACUUCAUCCAUUGAUGAAAGCUGACGAGAGAAUGCUGUAAUUCAAGACUGAUAAAUUGUGUAGUUGUUAGAUAAAUUACAAGUGCAUAUUAUCUGGGCUCCCUUCUUUUCUGCGGCCCCGUUUCCCUAACUAACCACUAACCAAC